GCGGGCGGCUGUGAGCGGCGCUCGGGGCGCGCUAGGCGGGGAGCCGAGCCGGGCUGGCGGCAGGCGGACGGGGCGGGCGCGUGCGGCGCGAGCCGGGCGCUGAGGACAAGGGCCGCUGGUAGGGCCGGCCGGCCGGCGGGCGGAGCGCCGCCGCCGACGCACACGAGGUGACCAGGCAUUGAUGCACCCCCAGGAAGGCCACGCGCUCAGGAGGCCCCCCCGCCCCGCUGGCUGCUGCUCACAUGGUGUCUGGGCCCUUGGCACUCUGUUCAUGCGGGAGAUGGCAGGGGCUGGCACAUGACAGUGGAGCAGAAAUUUGGCCUGUUUUCUGCUGAGAUAAAGGAAGCAGACCCCCUGGCUGCCUCGGAAGCAAGUCAACCCAAACCCUGUCCCCCCGAAGUGACCCCCCACUACAUCUGGAUCGACUUCCUGGUGCAGCGGUUUGAGAUCGCCAAGUACUGCAGCUCUGACCAAGUGGAGAUCUUCUCCAGCCUGCUGCAGCGCUCCAUGUCCCUGAACAUCGGCAGGGCCAAGGGGAGCAUGAACCGGCACGUGGCGGCCAUCGGGCCCCGCUUCAAGCUGCUGACCCUGGGGCUGUCCCUCCUGCAUGCCGAUGUGGUUCCAAAUGCAACCAUCCGCAAUGUGCUUCGCGAGAAGAUCUACUCCACUGCCUUUGACUACUUCAGCUGUCCCCCAAAGUUUCCUACUCAAGGAGAGAAGCGGCUGCGUGAAGACAUAAGCAUCAUGAUUAAAUUUUGGACCGCCAUGUUCUCAGAUAAGAAGUACCUGACCGCCAGCCAGCUUGUUCCCCCAGCUGACAUCGGCGACCUCCUGGAGCAGUUAGUAGAGGAGAACACAGGCUCCUUGUCGGGCCCAGCGAAGGACUUUUACCAGCGGGGGUUUGAUUUCUUUAACAAGAUCACCAACGUGUCGGCUGUCAUCAAGCCCUACCCUAAAGGCGACGAGAGAAAGAAGGCUUGUCUGUCGGCCCUGUCUGAAGUGACGGUGCAGCCAGGCUGCUCCCUGCCCAGCAACCCCGAAGCCAUUGUGCUGGACGUCGACUACAAGUCUGGGACCCCGAUGCAGAGUGCUGCAAAAGCCCCAUAUCUGGCCAAGUUCAAGGUGAAGCGAUGUGGAGUUAGUGAACUUGAAAAAGAAGGUCUGCGGUGCCGCUCAGACUCUGAGGAUGAGUGCAGCACGCAGGAGGCCGACGGCCAGAAGAUCUCCUGGCAGGCAGCCAUCUUCAAACUGGGAGACGACUGCCGGCAGGACAUGCUGGCCCUGCAGAUCAUCGACCUCUUCAAGAACAUCUUCCAGCUGGUCGGCCUGGACCUCUUUGUUUUUCCCUACCGCGUGGUGGCCACUGCCCCUGGGUGCGGGGUGAUCGAGUGCAUCCCCGACUGCACCUCCCGGGACCAGCUGGGCCGCCAGACAGACUUCGGCAUGUACGACUACUUCACACGCCAGUACGGGGAUGAGUCCACUCUGGCCUUCCAGCAGGCCCGCUACAACUUCAUCCGAAGCAUGGCCGCCUACAGCCUCCUGCUGUUCCUGCUGCAGAUCAAGGACAGACACAACGGCAACAUUAUGCUGGACAAGAAGGGCCAUAUCAUCCACAUCGACUUUGGCUUCAUGUUUGAAAGCUCGCCGGGCGGCAAUCUCGGCUGGGAACCCGACAUCAAGCUGACGGAUGAGAUGGUGAUGAUCAUGGGGGGCAAGAUGGAGGCCACACCCUUCAAGUGGUUCAUGGAGAUGUGUGUCCAGGCUACCUGGCUGUGCGGCACAGGUUUAGCCCCAACAUGACUGAGCGCGAGGCUGCAAAUUUCAUCAUGAAGGUCAUCCAGAGCUGCUUCCUCAGCAACAGGAGCCGGACCUACAACAUGAUCCAGUACUAUCAGAAUGACAUCCCCUACUGAGGAGGGGACCUUCGAGGGCCUCUGCCCCAUGUGCCCUUGAAGCUGCCCCACAAUCAUGGAGCCCUGCGACCUACCCGCCCUGCCGCCACAUGCAGUGGAGGAGAGGCCUGUGGCCCGAAGAGCCUGGUAGCGCCUCCUGGGGCAGCACGUGGGUGGCGCAGGCUUAGUAACGCCGUGGACUGCAGCGACAAUCAGUGGAUGGUGCUGUCUAUGCACAGGUGUGAGUCCUCUGUUUGCACUGGACAUAUUCCCUACCUGUUUUAUUUCAUAGGUACAUGAAGUAUUGUGUAUAAAAAAAGAGAUAAGAUUUAACCAACAUCAACAAAAUAAAAACCCAAAAUAGUGCUGUGUUGGAA